CAAACGACUCUCGGCAACGGAUAUCUCGGCUCUCGCAUCGAUGAAGAACGUAGCGAAAUGCGAUACUUGGUGUGAAUUGCAGAAUCCCGUGAACCAUCGAGUUUUUGAACGCAAGUUGCGCCCAAAGCCAUCCGGYYGAGGGCACGCCUGCCUGGGCGUCACGCAUCGCUCGCCCCCAACCAUGCAUUCUCAUGGGAUGCUUGGCAUCGGGGCGGAGAUUGGCCUCCCGUGCCUUUGGUGUGGUUGGCCUAAAUCGGAGUACCU
rnacentral:rRNA from 1 species